rnacentral:rRNA from 1 species
CCAGACUCCUACGGGAGGCAGCAGUGGGGAAUAUUGCACAAUGGGGGAAACCCUGAUGCAGCAACGCCGCGUGAGUGAGGAAGUAUUUCGGUAUGUAAAGCUCUAUCAGCAGGGAAUAGAAAAGAAGGUACCUGAAAAAGAAGCCCCGGCUAACUACGUGCCAGCAGCCGCGGUAAUACGUAGGGGGCAAGCGUUAUCCGGAUUUACUGGGUGUAAAGGGAGCGUAGACGGCAGUGCAAGUCUGGAGUGAAAGGCGGGGGCUCAACCCCCGGACUGCUCUGGAAACUGUACGGCUGGAGUGCAGGAGAGGUAAGUGGAAUUCCUAGUGUAGCGGUGAAAUGCGUAGAUGUUAGGAGGAACACCAGUGGCGAAGGCGGCUUACUGGACUGUAACUGACGUUGAGGCUCGAAAGCGUGGGGAGCGAACAGGAUUAGAUACCCUAGUA